rnacentral:misc_RNA from 1 species
UUCUGAAUUAGGAUCCUUCAUUGUUGGUUAACCAAAGGCGUGCCGUUGAAAACGUUGAUUUCAAAAGUGUUUUAUUUUUCUAGCCAGUAUAACAAUAUAAAUUUUUUACAUUUCUGUUGUUAGUUAGUGCGAAGCGUGUUUUACUGCCGCAUAGGCAUAGGGAAGUUCUAUGCUUCCCGGCGCUAAGAAUGGUGUCACCGGUACGGCAGCAAACACUGGCGAUUGUCAUAUACCUCUGAGAAACUACCGUCGGCCUCGUGCUCUCUGUCUAUACACACGAUGGGUUUUAUUUGGCACAAGUCAUGCAGUCUCAGUUUGCCUGUGGGUGGGUUCUGCAACUGCAAAGGAUAGUGUAGGAAAGAACAAUUGGUUAACGUAACCGAUUUCGUUGGUGCUGUACCGGAUACCCUGUGAAAUAAACAUAAGUUAGGAAAAUGGAUUUGGAACAUGGGCGUAGCCGAGAUUCCCAUUUAGACGAUUCGCCUGUUGCAGCUGGACAAUCCGUUGACCCCGAAUUUGAAGACUUGCCACUCCCAAAAGGAUCCAGGAAAACUAAUUUUGAAGAUUUAUACAGCUUGCGUCUCCAAGAUAAUACCACAGAAUCGAACAGAUCCUUGCCAUACCAAUCAAUUUACAGUACGUCUAGGGAAAACAACGUAAAACCAAACUUUGUUGUUCUUCCAGUUAACAAUAUCACACUGAAAAUUGUCAGCUAUGAAAGGAGCACAUCUACUUUGAUAAGAGCUAAUCCAAACCUCUAUGUGAUAGAAGUUAACAAUGCCAGUUCGAAAUGGAUCUUACGCCGCCGGUUUAAACACUUUCAACAUCUUCACAAUCAGCUUCAGUUAUUGCGAACUUCCAUGAACAUUCCCUUUCCUUCAAGAAUCCACCGGGAACAACGCGCUAGCUUCAGAGUUGAACUUCAUAAAUCAAAAACUGUUCGGCAUUCUCUUCCUCGAUUUCCACUUCUUCCCGAGGCAUUAGUGCCGCUUGACCAAAUGGAACAACGAAUGAACCAAUUAGAGAACUAUAUGAAGGCUGUUCUUGAGAACGGCAUUUACCGCAAUUACAGUGAGACGCUAAGCUUUCUGGAGAUAAGCCGAAUGUCGUUUAUUGAUCAACUUGGCGAGAAAAGAAAGGAAGGAUGGAUAAAGAAAAAAAACGGAACUAAUUCAUCAACCAUAUGUAAAGUACGAUGUCGGGAAGAGAAUGGAGAAUACCUCUGCUGUUGCUGCAUAAUGUGUGGCCAUAGAAUGGGAAUUUCAGGAAUCUGGAGGCAAAAGUGGAUUUUCGUAAAAGAUUCGUUUUUUGGUUAUUUGAGACCGGAUACCAACGAAAUUGGAUGUAUUCUUCUUAUGGAUCAAGACUUUAAAAUAGCGACAGGAAUAGAAGAAACUGGAUUAAAACAUGGAUUAAUUGUGUCCAACUCGAGUCGGCAACUCUUUUUAAAAAGCUGGACGAAGCGUGAAGUAAAAGAAUGGGCAGACUGUAUCCAGCGCGUCAUGGAAUCCACAGGUCGCGAUUUUGUUCAAUUGGAAGGCGCCAACCGCUUUAGAAGUUUUGUACCGAUCAGAAAAAAAGCAAAAUGUUCGUGGUUCGUUGAUGGCGCCGGAUACAUGUCGGCCGUUGCAGAUGCUUUGGAGGAUGCGAAAGAAGACAUUAUGAUUGCUGAUUGGUGGUUAAGUCCUGAAAUAUACAUGAAAAGGCCAGCAGUAGAUGGUAACAAAUGGCGACUUGACACGAUUCUUCGCCGAAAAGCGGAAGAAGGUGUCCGUGUUUUUGUUUUACUCUACAAAGAAGUUGAAAUGGCUCUUGGAAUCAACAGCCUUUAUUCAAAGAAAGCGUUAUCCGCCAUGCACCCCAACAUUAAGGUUCUUCGCCAUCCAGAUCAUAUUGCAGGAACUGGAACUUUGUUAUGGGCUCACCACGAGAAACUAGUUAUCGUCGACCAAACUCUUGCCUUUGUUAGCGGGAUUGAUCUAUGUUAUGGAAGAUGGGAUGACCAACAGCACAGGUUGACAGACUUGGGAAGCGUUGGAACUUCUGAACGUUCCAUGGGAGUUUCUAAUGUUACAUCAAGUCACAACGUCGGACAACAAAAGCCGGGCGUACUUUUUCACCUAGCGAAAUCUGCCAAUGACGUUACACUAGGAACGGUUAUAAUUAGUGCCACGAAUGGAAAGAAAGAAACAAAAACUAAAAGAAAAAGCUCUUCCGAAAAAUCAGAGCAGAGUACCAGCCACCACUUAAAGAUGAAACAUUUCACGUUUCGUCGAAAAGCAAGACUUGACAGUAUAGAAGAAGAAACAAAAGAUGGGAAAAUUAGCGGAGAAUACAGAGGAAUGAAUACCCAGAAUGCUUCUGGCACUGUUGCGCAUAGUUCCAUUACUGAUGUGCUUGAAGGAUCCACGAAACUCUGGAUUGGCAAAGAUUAUACAAAUUUCAUAGUGAAAGAUUUUGACAAGCUUGACCAACCAUUGAAAGAUUCUGUUGAUCGAACAACAACACCAAGAAUGCCAUGGCACGACAUUGGGUGUGCUGUUGUAGGGGAAGCUGCGCGAGAUGUUGCUCGUCAUUUCGUUCAACGAUGGAAUGCCACAAAGGCCGAAAAAGUUCAUAAAAACAGCAACUUCCCAUAUUUGGUACCCAAAUCCUAUGGCGAAUUCGAUCCUUAUUUGAGCAUUAAGAACAGUCCAACAUCUUUAGUUGAUUGCCAGGUCCUUCGUAGCAGUACUACGUGGAGUGUGGGAUCCCGAAUUACAGAGGAUUCAAUUCUCUCAGCCUACAUUCAUGCGAUUCAGAAUGCUGAGCAUUUCAUAUACAUUGAAAAUCAGUUCUUCAUCACGGCCUGUAAUUCUGGCGAAGUGAAUAAUCGCAUAGGGAGGGCUCUCUAUGACCGAAUUAUUUUGGCUUCUGAGAAGAAAUCUAGAUUUCGCGUUAUAGUUAUUCUUCCCCUUCUUCCAGGCUUUGAAGGUCAAAUUGGAACAAGUUCAGGAAGAGCCAUGCAGGCUAUAAUGCAUUGGAACUAUGCUUCGAUUUGCAGUUUUUCAGGGGUAAUAACUCUUUACUUGUAAAGUUACGAGCAGCAAACUUAGAUCCUUUAGCGUACAUAUCCUUCUAUGGUCUUAGAACUCAUUCACAGCUAAAUAAGCACUUGGUGACCGAAUUGAUAUACGUUCAUUCUAAAUUAAUGAUUGUUGAUGACAAGAAAGUCAUUUGUGG